rnacentral:rRNA from 1 species
UGGCGCAACCGUGCAUAUGAUCGCCUCAAGCUGCAUCUCGCAAAGGAGUUCUGUGAGUUGCCACACAUGUCAUACCCUGUAGAUGCACCAACAUACAUACCAAAAACCUUGUUUGUGAAGUACUUGGAUGACUAUGUUGAGCGUUUCAACAUUCAACCAAAGUAUCUCACCAGCGUGGAGUCAUCCACAUAUGACAAUGAUGAAAAAUGUUGGUCCAUUGUGGCAACGGACAUGUCAAAGUGCACCACAGUCAAGUUCACGGCAAAGUUUCUUGUUGUGGCAAGUGGUGAGAAUAGUGCAGAGAAUAUUCCAAUGAUCCCUGGACUAGAAAACUUUCCAGGUGAUGUCAUCCACUCCUCAAGCUACAAGUCAGGCAAGAGCUACUCUGGCAAGAAUGUAUUGGUCGUUGGAUCUGGCAACUCCGGGAUGGAAAUUGCUUAUGACCUUGCGACCCAUGGUGCCAAUACAUCGAUUGUUAUACGAAGCCCGAUUCAUGUAAUGACAAAGGAAUUAAUUCGUUUGGGGAUGACACUUGCUCACCAUCUUCCAUUGAAUCUAGUGGAUAAACUCCUUGUGAUGGCAGCGUAUUUAAUAUUUGGAGACCUGUCACGACAUGGCAUCACAAGGCCAAAAAUGGGUCCAAUGACCCUCAAAUCAGAAACAGGCCGAUCUGCGGUGAUUGAUGUUGGGACUGUUGGAUUGAUCAAAAAAGGCAUCAUCAAAGUUCAGGGGAGCAUUAGUAAGAUCAAGGGCAACAUAGUUAAAUUUCAAUGCAGUAAAAGAAUCUCAUUUGAUGCGAUUGUGUUUGCAACUGGAUACAAAAGCACGGCAAAUAUAUGGCUCAAGAAUGGUGAGAGCAUGUUAAAUGGCAACGGACUGCCCAUCCAAAAAUAUCCGAAUCAUUGG